rnacentral:lncRNA from 1 species
UUCAUCUUCCUUUAUUAGUAACAAACCACCACCGCAAAUAUCAUUUUAUCUCCACAUCAAUUAUUUACAAACUCUUUCAACAAAAAUCAAGAGACUCCAUAAGGCAUUAAUUUUGACCAUUUAUCAACAAAUGGAGACUGCAACAUUAAUGGCACACGCAAGAGCAACAACUUUGUUUCCGCACUUUCUUGCUUGUCAUGAGGGUCACUGCCAGCCGUAGCAAUCCAUUCCUUUCGCUUAUCCACAUCUUUGUAUGAAUAUAAAUGUCAAAGUGUGUUGCAAUUGGGGAGUCGUAGUUCUAAAAGCAGGGUAAUGUAUGUAUCACCACAAAACCAAGAUGGACAAGUUCAUGAAACACAAAAAAAAAAAAAAAAAAAAACUGGCCAAAUAAGAUUAAGAAUGAACAUUUCCAACAUCAUCCUUCCCCAAGUCAACAAGCAUAAUAUGCUCUACACAUUGCUUUUUAUCAUUCAAAAUUUUCUUUUCAAACACUAGAUUGUCAUUAGUAGUCUUGCCUUUUCUAACAGUGCUAAGGGGUUGAUUAAUAAUCUUUCUCUGUAAAUAAUGAUAAAAGGUGAACAUCUGCAAUCAUCACAACAAUACAAACAAAAAUUCUGAUAGUAGAAAAUAAUUAAUGCAUAGAGUGGGAAACAAAUCUUAUAUAGUCAUUAUGUAUCCCUAAAAUCAAAACUUAAGGAGAAAGAGAAAAAAAAUGUGAAAUUAAUCAUCCCAAAAUUCCUUCAAGUAUUACUAACCUUCUUCAUACUAGUAAGACUUUUUGGACUAAAAGCCACUAGUAAACUCGAUUUAACAUGAUUAGAGAAAUAAAUAAAUAAAUAAAAAGCUUGGAAACUAAAUAUUAUUUCUUGACAAACAAAUAGUGUUAGGGAAAAGCAAACAAACUUGUAACUAAGUCAUGUAUGGACUUGAAUUAACAUCUCAAUGUUUUCUAAAUUUCAAAUGAAGUCUGCAAGAGUUUGCCUUUAAUAAGGUUGACUUAAUAUGAUGUGGAAAAUGUGAGCAGGAAGGACAUAUUGCUUGGUAUGCAAUGCAACCUCCUUGUAUGCUUCACUUGUCAUGCUUGACCUCUCCAAUUUCGGACUAAAAUGUUGUGUGUAACUUUAUUGAACCUAACCAGAGCUGUGGUUUGAAAUUGCAUUAAAAAUAAAAUGUCAAAAAGUUAACUAGAAGAAACAACAAUGAAGAAAAUGAUAUUAAAAAAUAUAAAUUGAACGACAACAAUUUGCAGAAUUUUUAAUGGAACUAUCCAUGCUUCCAUUUAUACAAAACCAACAAGUUAUCACUAAUCAUAGGUUAAUAUAAUUUCUCCAUCACAAAUUUAUCUGGUUUUUCCACAUAUAACCAUUACUUUAUAAUUUCAGUGCAUGCCCCAAUAAAGCCAUGUAAUCCACUUCAUUGUUGAAACUUUUUUCCUUGAAUUAAAACAGACAUGCAACUAAAAUAGCUCAUGUGCACCCUAAACCCAUGGAUCCAAAGAAUACAGCAAACCAUUUAAUUUUUCGCAACCCAAGUCAUGUAAAUAACACGAUAAAAACCCAAAAAAAAUUUCAAAAACCCCUUUAACAGAAUACUACCUAUAUACACUUCAAACUAUCUUCAACAUACAUUUUUAUAUUUAAUUUUACUAUAACUAUCAUGAAUCUAUUGAAAAUAAUCAUAAGAAACGAAUAAAAAUCUAAAAAAUUUUCAAGAACUAUUUUUCAAUCAAUCAUAAAGGCAGCAGAGAUAUUUAGUUCUAUGUUCAACGUGCUUUUGCAAUACUCAUUUACCUACAACUAACACUAAAUGAUGGACAAAAUCAAAAGCAACAGCAACAAUCUUAAAAACAUUUCAAUAUCCAUUUGCUAAUUUUUCACCGAGACUACCAAUUUCAACUAAUAAAACUAGCAUGCAUUGAAAGAAUUAAUACCUUAUUCGUGGCUUAAAACAAUGGGAUGAUUGGCUAGUUGUCGGAAAAAACUCAUUCGCGGUCGUGAAUCAUUCGUAGCCGAUAUUAGAGUUGGCUUCAUCGUCAUGGUCUUUAAUUUAUGGCCGAAGUAAUUGAUCAAAGCAUUAGAGAGAAAAUGAAACGAGUUUUGCUUGGUUGCUUUGGAUUUGUGGAGUAGAAAGAUGAGAACUUUUUAUUUUGUUAAUGUCUGUUAGAUAAAAGCGCGCUUCAAUUUAUUCUCCACUGGAUAUUAACA